rnacentral:rRNA from 1 species
GACCAGACUCCUACGGGAGGCAGCAGUGAGGAAUAUUGGUCAAUGGCCGAGAGGCUGAACCAGCCAAGUCGCGUGAGGGAAGACGGCCCUACGGGUUGUAAACCUCUUUUGUCGGGGAGCAAAAGCCGGACGUGUCCGGCUGUGAGAGUACCCGAAGAAAAAGCAUCGGCUAACUCCGUGCCAGCAGCCGCGGUAAUACGGAGGAUGCGAGCGUUAUCCGGAUUUAUUGGGUUUAAAGGGUGCGCAGGCGGAAGAUCAAGUCAGCGGUAAAAUUGAGAGGCUCAACCCCGUCCGGCCGUUGAAACUGGGGGCCUUGAGUGGGCGAGAAGAAGGCGGAAUGCGUGGUGUAGCGGUGAAAUGCAUAGAUAUCACGCAGAACCCCGAUUGCGAAGGCAGCCUUCCGGCGCCCUACUGACGCUGAGGCACGAAAGUGCGGGGAUCGAACAGGAUUAGAUACCCCCGUA